rnacentral:snRNA from 1 species
AAAGGAUUAAAACCUAUAGC